CUUGGUCGGAGUGGUGGGUUGCUGCCCUCACAAGCAUUGUGAGGGCAGCGGUUCAAGCCCCCACAAAAGCAUUUGUGGGGGCUAACGUGCUUAUUUGUUUAAUAUUUCAAAAAUUUCCUCUCCCUCGUGCAAUACGAGUGGAGUAUGGACAUCCCUCUUCUGUAAGGGAUUAUUUAUCUGGGCAUGUACUUCACAGAAUUCAAUGUAAUAAUAUAAGUCCCAAUCAUGUAUUUCUGAUUGUAAAUAUCAGUGUAAUAUAUCUGCUAUAAUAGCAGUUGUAAAUAUCUGUGUAAUGCAGUAAUAUGAUGAUUAAUCAGUAUUCAAAAAAAAAAA
rnacentral:lncRNA from 1 species